rfam:Enterococcus asini ATCC 700915 genomic scaffold acvKe-supercont1.4, whole genome shotgun sequence.
GGAAUUCUGUGAUGUACGAGUUGUCUUUUCUGUGUGUUGACCGAACAUCUUUAUUGAUACCUCGGGACCUGUCUUGUGUGUAAGUUGGUAGCACGCCCUAUCAUUUGGUAGCUUUAGGCUUGCACCGUGGGACCCACCUGCUAGUAUUUGCGGGAUCAAUACUAUAAGACGAAUAACGGCAUCGACGGAUAUACC